rnacentral:lncRNA from 1 species
ACUGUGGCCAGAGACCAGAACAAUGAGGAGAAAAUUCUGUCGCUUUGGAAACAAGGUUGGCAAGACACAUGCCAUUUCCUCCUCAGAGCUCUUGAUUCCACCAUACAUUGCCAAGAACUACUCUCAGCCCCCUUGACUAUUGUGCGUUGAUGUUACCAGCCUUGGCCAGGAAAACUUCUGGAAUUGAGUCUGCAGUUAGCCAACAUUAGCCAUUCUAGAUAGGCUAUCCUCAUUCUUUUUUAUUAUUCAAACUCAAAAGAGUGCAGAUUUCUUUAUGAGUUUUAAAUCCCCUGUAAGGUACUGUCUGUGGCCUGCAGUCAUGAAGAAUGACGUACAAAAUGUGAAAGUCAUCAGUCUAUUUCCUUCUUUCAGCAUGAAAGUAUAUUUGACUUGUGGACAGUAAGCAGCCUGGUUCCAAUUGAAGACCACCAUAGCAUGGGUCCUGCCCUACUGAAAUGGCAAAAGUACCAAGUGGCAGCAGCUUGGUGGCACGGAGACCACCAAAAAAGAAGGAGAAGGAGAAGGAGAAGGAGAAGAAGAAGAAAAAAGAAAGAAAAGAAAAUAGAAAAGAAAAAAGAGAAAAAAGGUGGUGGCUUUUGUUCUUAAAUUCAUAUAUUUAUAUGGAAACAAUUGUGAACACAGAGUUCAUUUAUGGAGACAGAGUUGUAGAUGUAAGUACAUUCAUGCACGGAUUGCAUAAAAAGUCAAAAUUUCCCAUAAUAUUUCUACCUUUUAGAGUUUAUUAGCCAUCUAAGAGGUUUCUUACAGUGUGGGAUUUUCAGUGCUAGGACCAAUGUAGUCCAGUAAACUGAGAAUUAACCACUUAAAAUACUGGACACAUUUGCUUGGGGUAAGGAGUAGGGACAAUUUAUGUGGCUUAUGGGAACAUUUCAAUAAUCUCUGAAACUCUCUUUGGGAUCCUCGAAAUAUGAUUACUCCCAUAAGCCUCCAAAGCAUUUCCCUUUAUUUAAAAACAGAGGAACUUUCAG